rnacentral:rRNA from 1 species
CCUACGGGAGGCAGCAGUGAGGAAUAUUGGUCAAUGGACGAGAGUCUGAACCAGCCAAGUAGCGUGAAGGAUGACUGCCCUAUGGGUUGUAAACUUCUUUUAUAUGGGAAUAAAACGUUCCACGUGUGGGAUUUUGUAUGUACCAUAUGAAUAAGGAUCGGCUAACUCCGUGCCAGCAGCCGCGGUAAUACGGAGGAUCCGAGCGUUAUCCGGAUUUAUUGGGUUUAAAGGGAGCGUAGGUGGAUUGUUAAGUCAGUUGUGAAAGUUUGCGGCUCAACCGUAAAAUUGCAGUUGAAACUGGCAGUCUUGAGUACAGUAGAGGUGGGCGGAAUUCGUGGUGUAGCGGUGAAAUGCUUAGAUAUCGCGAAGAACUCCGAUUGCGAAGGCAGUUCACUGGACUGCAACUGACACUGAGGCUCGAAAGUGUGGGUAUCAAACAGGAUUAGAUACCCCAGUAGUC